UCCACGCUGUAAACGAUGUGCACUAGGUAUGGGGUACAGAAGUAUUCCGUGCCGCAGCAAACGCGAUAAGUGCACCGCCUGGGGAGUAUGCCCGCAAGGGUGAAACUCAAAGGAAUUGACGGGUCCCCGCACAAGCGGUGGAGCAUGUGGUUUAAUUCGAUGCCACGCGAGGAACCUUACCAGGGCUUGACAUGUGCAUGAAUGCUUCAGAGAUGAGGCAGUCUG
rnacentral:rRNA from 1 species